rnacentral:tRNA from 1 species
CUUUAGCUCAGUUGGUUAGAGCACAUGACUGUUAAUCAUGGGGUCCGGGGUUCAAGUCCCUGAA